rnacentral:rRNA from 1 species
GUGAACGCUGGCGGUAGGCCUAACCCCUGCCAGUCGAACGGCAGCACAGUAAGAGCUUGCUCUUACGGGUGGCGAGUGGCGGACGGGUGAGGAAUACAUCGGAAUCUACUUUUUCGUGGGGGAUAACGUAGGGAAACUUACGCUAAUACCGCAUACGACCUACGGGUGAAAGCAGGGGAUCUUCGGACCUUGCGCGAUUGAAUGAGCCGAUGUCGGAUUAGCUAGUUGGGGGGUAAAGGCCCACCAAGGCGACGAUCCGUAGCUGGUCUGAGAGGAUGAUCAGCCACACUGGAACUGAGACACGGUCCAGACUCCUACGGGAGGCAGCAGUGGGGAAUAUUGGACAAAGGGCGCAAGCCUGAUCCAGCCAUACCGCGUGGGUGAAGAAGGCCUUCGGGUUGUAAAGCCCUUUUGUUGGGAAAGAAAAGCAGCAGGUUAAUACCCCGCUGUUCUGACGGUACCCAAAGAAUAAGCACCGGCUAACUUCGUG